CCUCCAGUAGCUCAGUCGGAAGAGCAGAUAGUUCUCAGCGUCAUCUGAUCUCCCAAUGACCUUACUUUGUUUCCUAUCGACGCUGGUUCGAGUCCAGCCCGGGGGA
rfam:Stereum hirsutum FP-91666 SS1 unplaced genomic scaffold STEHIscaffold_2, whole genome shotgun sequence.